GGGCAACACGACGUGCCGCUGUUAGUGAGGGCCGAGAGGAAGAGGAGGAGCAGGGAGGGAGAAGGAUUGGUGAAGUGGGGAUGGAGGGAGGAGGAAGAGUGACCCCUGGUGGCCUGCUGCAUCUUCCAUGGGCCUCCAACCCUGCUUCUCUUCGUCUCGCGCGGCGGCGGCCGGCCGGCCGGGCUCUUCCCUCACACAACCCCUAUUUGGGGCAGAAGGACGACGUCAAUGAUGUUUGAGUGAUACCUUCCUGCUAGUGAGGAAGAUUGAAAGAGCAAGAAGAAAGGGUGAGGGAGAUGAAAGAGGACACAACAAAUGACUACAGAUCUGCUCUAACAAAGGAAUAAACUUGUAAGGUGCGUGUUCCUCUCAGGUGUCUUCUCAUAGAUGCUCUCAGAUAAGGUUUGUGCUCCUCUCUGGUCUAUUAGCAUUGAUGCUUUAUGUGAUUCAGUAUGGAUUUUUGUUUCUGUUACUUAUGAAGCUUCAUUGAUUAAGGUGUACCAAAUCCUAGCUGCUCUAUUGUUACGAGGUAGUCAGGAAACACACAUUUUGCAUCUGGUUUAGGUAGCAUAAAGAUGCAGAUGCAGAUUCAUGGAGAGCAUCUGAUGAACCACUACUUGCCAUGGAAAUGGACCUCAUCUAUCGCUUAUUUCAGCCUGGAUGAUGAUUAUUUUCCCCAAGAUGAUUUUUAGAGCACGUCUGCAAUAAUAAUCUAGGAGGCAAGGUGAUGCUACUUCUUCGGCAAGCUUGGCGGACUUUCUUCUGAACUACGAAGCCCUGCUGACGGACAUAAAACAUUCAGAGAUGACUGACAAAGAUAAAGUUUCUGCUGAUAUUCACGUGCUGGCUAACCAGAAUUGCUCAUCUAUUUCCAGCAGAGUCAAAGACAAACAGCGAGCCCAUUGGGUUGCGCCUCCAAACGGCAAAGUAACGAUCAAUGUCGACGCCGCUUACCUGCCGGCGACCAGAGACGCGGCUGUUGGGGCGGUGGCUCGCGAACAUGAUGGCACCAUCAUCGCCGCUCUUAGCUAGACUACAGGUUUCUGCCAGGAUGCAGAAGAGGCAUACGGAAGGGCGAUCCUGGCUGGCCUGUGGAUGGGGAACUGACGGCUUUGGAAUCUGACCGUGCAAUGCUGUUCGCGCAUCUAAUGAUCCUUUCGCUGAUCACUCUCGUCUCUGGAGUGUUUACAAUGAUAUUCUGAAGCCAUGACUUGAUUACCCGGGUGCUCGGUGCUGUAUUCCGGGAGAAAGUUAAAUUAUGUUGCCCAUGGGCUUGCUCAGCUUAGCUACGCGUUCCGGUGCUUGUAACCUGUGGCUGGCGCCUGUGCCAACUGCUAUUGCAGAACUCGUGCUAAACGAGAUUGUAAUCUAUGAUUCAGAGUAAUAUAUGAGCU